GUGCUUACCUCGGCAGCACAUACACUAAAAUUGGAAUGAUACAGAGAUUAGCGUGGCCCCUGUGUAAGGAUGACUUGGAAAUUCGUGAAGUGUUCUGUAUUUUU